rnacentral:lncRNA from 1 species
UUGUCAGCUCACGUUGGCAUGGGGAUAAGCUUUAAAUGAAAGUUACACAUGUUUCUUUAGGUCAUUUUUUUUUUCUUUCUUUUCUUUCUUUUUGGGAUCGAAUCCACCAGUCAUGACAUUGAUGGAAUAAUCUCUUAAAAUUAAGUAUGAGAAUUAAUUCCAUUUUACGUGUCGAUGUUUGCGACUUUGUUGGUAAUAAAUUUAAUACUUGAUUGAAGAAGUGGGAUUUCCACCAGCAUGAUUUUAUUUUAUUUUAUUUUCUUGCUUAGGAAAUGAUUUGUAAUGAUGGGGUUAGGGAUUAGGAACAUAAUCUCAUGAUAUAUUAUAGUCACAUAAUUAAUCAAAUUGUAAGGAAUAUAAUUACGUACUUCCCUCUAAAUUUUAAUCAAAGGCUAUGCACUAGUUAUAAUUAAUCAAGCCAGCCAGAGGAUUAGGGGCCAUGCACCUAUAAAUUAAAAGUGAGUGGAAAAAUGUCGGAAUCUAUAGUCACAUUAACUGGUUCGGCUUCUCUCCACAUUACUCAUAGCUAACCUCCGAGUAGGUAGGUGCUUGAUCAUGAGGAUCUACUAGAAGAAAGGGUAUGCUUGAAAAACAUAGUUUUAUGCCUAGCUAGGCCUAGCCGCCUAGCCCUCAUGCUAG